CUCCCUGUAGCUCAGUUGGUAGAGCAUGGUGUUUGCAACACCAGGGUUGUGGGUUUGAUUCCCACGGGGGGC
rnacentral:tRNA from 1 species